GGUUUUUUGAAUUUAAAUGAAAAAUCUGACCUGCCCAAUGAAAAUUGAAUGGCCGCGGUAUUUUGACCGUGCGAAGGUAGCAUAAUCAUUUGUCUUUUAAUUAAAGACUGGAAUGAAUGGUUGGACGAAAUAAAAACUUUUUUAGUUAUAAAAAUUAAAGUUUACUUUUUAGUGAAAAGGCUAAGAUGAAUUUAAAAGACAAGAAGACCCUAUCAAGUUUUAUUAUAAUAAUAUUAGGUAUGAGAAGUGCGGUUUAAGUAUUAUUUAAUUUUGCUGGGGCGGCGUGUAAGAACAUAUAAUGAUCCGAAAAUUUCGAUUAUUAGAUUAAAUUACUGUAGGGAUAACAGCGUAAUCUUAUUUGAGAGUUCAUAUCGACAAUAAGGGUUGCGACCUCGAUGUUGGAUUAGAAUACCUUCUUGGGAGCAGAAUCUAGGAAAGGUGGUCUGUUCGACCAUAAAAUUUCUACA
rnacentral:rRNA from 1 species